rnacentral:rRNA from 1 species
UUAUAAUCUGGCACCUUCGGUGUCCGAGUUGUAAUCUCUAGAAAUGUUUUCCGCGUUGGACCGCACACAAGUCUGUUGGAAUACAGCGGCAUAGUGGUGAGACCCCCGUAUAUGGUGCGGACGCCCAGCGCUUUGUGAUACAUUUUCGAAGAGUCGAGUUGUUUGGGAAUGCAGCUCAAAUUGGGUGGUAAAUUCCAUCUAAAGCUAAAUAUUGGCGAGAGACCGAUAGCGAACAAGUACCGUGAGGGAAAGAUGAAAAGCACUUUGGAAAGAGAGUUAACAGUACGUGAAAUUGUUGGAAGGGAAACGCUUGAAGUCAGACUUGCUUGCCGAGCAAUCGGUUUGCAGGCCAGCAUCAGUUUUCCGGGAUGGAUAAUGGUAGAGAGAAGGUAGCAGUUUCGGCUGUGUUAUAGCUCUCUGCUGGAUACAUCUUGGGGGACUGAGGAACGCAGUGUGCCUUUGGCGGGGGUUUCGACCUCUUCACACUUAGGAUGCUGGUGGAAUGGCUUU